UGAACCUACGGGAGGCAGCAGUGAGGAAUAUUGGUCAAUGGCCGAGAGGCUGAACCAGCCAAGUCGCGUGAGGGAAGACGGCCCUACGGGUUGUAAACCUCUUUUGUCGGGGAGCAAAGAGAGUCACGUGUGACUCAUUGAGAGUACCCGAAGAAAAAGCAUCGGCUAACUCCGUGCCAGCAGCCGCGGUAAUACGGAGGAUGCGAGCGUUAUCCGGAGUGACUGGGUGUAAAGAGUUGCGUAGGUGGCAUAGUAAGUAGCUAGUGAAAUCUGGUGGCUCAACCAUUCAGACUAUCAGCUAAACU
rnacentral:rRNA from 1 species